rnacentral:misc_RNA from 1 species
GUGAAUCAUCAAAUUUUUGAACGCAAAUUGCACUUUCUGGUAUUCCGGAAAGUAUGCCUGUUUGAGGGUCAGUUAAAUAUAAAUAGGUGUUAUUGCUGUUAAUGGUGAUGCAUGGGAAUUGAGUCGUAUUUAUUUUUGGUUUUAAGUGACUUAAAAUUAUGUAAGUUUUUUGAACGUAUUGAAAUUAUUGACUUACGUUCGUAUUAUCACAUAUUAGGUGCGGUCGUCCACAUGAUAUGGCGGCUAUAAUUUUUUCAUUAUUUGACCUCAUAU